rnacentral:rRNA from 1 species
CUUGAAAAAGGGAGUUCAAGAGGAGCUUCGAAGAAGCUUUCUUGAUGGAGGGGAGUGGCAGACGGGUGAGUAACGCGUGGGAACAUACCCUUAUCUUCGGAACAACUCCGGGAAACUGGAGCUAAUACCGAAUGUGCCCUUAGGGGGAAAGAUUUAUCGGAUAAGGAUUGGCCCGCGUUGGAUUAGCUAGUUGGUGGGGUAAAGGCCUACCAAGGCGACGAUCCAUAACUGGUCUGAGAGGAUGAUCAGCCACAUUGGGACUGAGACACGGCCCAAACUCCUACGGGAGGCAGCAGUGGGGAAUAUUGGACAAUGGGCGCAAGCCUGAUCCAGCCAUGCCGCGUGAGUGAUGAAGGCCUUAGGGUUGUAAAGCUCUUUCACCGGAGAAGAUAAUGACGGUAUCCGGAGAAGAAGCCCCGGCUAACUUCGUGCCAGCCGCCGCCGUAAUAC